rnacentral:ncRNA from 2 species
AUUUAGGCUGUGAAGAGGACUAGUAGAUUGAAAGAUUCUUAAAGGAAGGAAGAUUCACCGACUGAAAGAUCUUCUAAGAUUAUUUCAUUUGAACCCACCCUCUAAGCUGCAAGCGAUAAAGUUUGUCCGUUGGCCAACGUUACAGGCUUUGAGAGGAUUAAGUAAAUUUUCUUUGCUUAAUCAAUUUGGGUGGUACCGCGAAUUACCUUCGUCCCAGUA